rnacentral:rRNA from 1 species
ACGGGUGAGUAAUACAUCGGAACGUAUCCUGGAGUGGGGGAUAGCCCGGCGAAAGCCGGAUUAAUACCGCAUACGCUCUGAGGAGGAAAGCGGGGGACCUUCGGGCCUCGCGCUCAAGGGGCGGCCGAUGGCGGAUUAGGUAGUUGGUGGGGUAAAGGCCUACCAAGCCGACGAUCCGUAGCUGGUCUGAGAGGACGACCAGCCACACUGGGACUGAGACACGGCCCAGACUCCUACGGGAGGCAGCAGUGGGGAAUUUUGGACAAUGGGGGCAACCCUGAUCCAGCAAUGCCGCGUGUGUGAAGAAGGCCUUCAGGUUGUAAAGCACUUUUGUCCGGAAAGAAAUCAUCGGGGCCAAUACCCCUGGUGGAUGACGGUACCGGAAGAAUAAGCACCGGCUAACUAUGUGCCAGCAGCCGCGGUAAUACGUAGGGUGCGAGCGUUAAUCGGAAUUACUGGGCGUAAAGCGUGCGCAGGCGGUGCUGUAAGACCGAUGUGAAAUCCCCGGGCUUAACCUGGGAACUGCAUUGGUGACUGCAGCGCUGGAGUAUGGCAGAGGGGGGUGGAAUUCCACGU